rnacentral:rRNA from 1 species
UACGUAGGGUGCAAGCGUUAAUCGGAAUUACUGGGCGUAAAGCGUGCGCAGGCGGUGAUGCAAGACAGAUGUGAAAUCCCCGGGCUCAACCUGGGAACUGCAUUUGUGACUGCAUCGCUGGAGUACGGCAGAGGGGGAUGGAAUUCCGCGUGUAGCAGUGAAAUGCGUAGAGAUCCGGAGGAACACCAGUGGCGAAGGCGACACGCUGGGCCGUACCUGACACUGAUGCGCGACAGCAUGGGGAGCAAACAGG